rnacentral:rRNA from 1 species
UACGUAGGGGGGCAAGCGUUUGUCCGGAAUCAUUGGGCGUAAAGCGCGUGUAGGCGGCUUGGUAAGUCUGCUCUGAAAGCCCGGGGCUCAACCCCCGGGAGGCGGGUGGAUACUGUCAAGCUCGAGUCCGGAAGAGGAGUGUGGAAUUCCUGGUGUAGCGGUGAAAUGCGUAGAUAUCAGGAGGAACACCUGUGGCGAAAGCGGCGCACUGGACCACAACUGACGCUGAGGUGCGAAAGCUAGGGGGAGCAAACAGG